rnacentral:rRNA from 1 species
UACAGAGGGUGCGAGCGUUGUUCGGAAUUACUGGGCGUAAAGCGUGCGCAGGCGGCGCGUUAAGACAGGUGUGAAAGCCCCGAGCUUAACUUGGGAAUUGCGCUUGUGACUGGCGUGCUGGAGUGUGGCAGAGGGAGGUGGAAUUCCACGUGUAGCAGUGAAAUGCGUAGAGAUGUGGAGGAACACCGAUGGCGAAGGCAGCCUCCUGGGCCAGCACUGACGCUCAUGCACGAAAGCGUGGGGAGCAAACAGG